rnacentral:rRNA from 1 species
UGGCUCAGAGACGAACGCUAGCGGCGGGUCUUAACACAUGCAAGUCGAGCGGAGAGCUUCGGCUCUCAGCGGCGAACGGGUGAGUAACACGUAGGUCACGUACCCUUUGAUGGGGAAUAACCUAGGGAAACCUGGGCUAAUACCGCAUAUGUCCUUCGGGAUGAAAGCCUUCGGGCGUCAGAGGAUCGGCCUGCGGCCCAUUAUUAAUCCUAGUUGGUAGGGUAAUGGCCUACCAAGGGUACGAUGGGUAGCUGGUCUGAGAGGAUGAUCAGCCACACUAGAACUGAGACACGGUUCAGACUCCUACGGGAGGCAGCAGUGGGGAAUAUUGGACAAUGGGCGAAAGCCUGAUCCAGCCACGCCGCGUGGGUGAUGAAGGCCUUCGGGUUGUAAAGCCCUGUCGGGAGGGACGAAUCAAUGACGGUACCUCCCAAGAAAGCACCGGCUAACUCCGUG